CUUUUAUUAGGAAAACCAUUUUUCCAACCCUCCUAGUUCCUAUAAAAACAUCUCAUGCAUUUAAUUUAAGAAAUGCCUUUAUCACACCCAUCAUCUCUCCUCCAGGAAACCGUCCAAGACAUCCCCUUGCUGCCGCUAUCUCGCUAAAUUCACAAACCGAGUCACCACUGAAUGCUUUAAGUUGUUUGCUCACUCUCUCCUUUCCCAUCUUAUCUUCAUCUANCUUAAUGGUUGGGAGAGGAAAUGGCUCAAGGGAAGUUGCCACAACAAUGGGCUCUCCACCC
rnacentral:misc_RNA from 1 species